rnacentral:lncRNA from 10 species
ACUGCGCAUGCUCCCCAGCUGGGCCGGCUGCGGACGCGGGAAGGGAGGUGGUGGCGACUGACGGAACUGGGUGAAGAAGCUGUUGUGAGUUAUCCUGGUUUCAUUGGUACCUGCUGGCAAGCAUCUCAAGUGGGCACUCCAGAAAGGAAAUUGUGUACCAGUCAAGAUGUAGCAAGCACUUGGGGCUGGCACAUUCGUGAUUUGCGAUUGUGCUUUUCUUGUGCCAACCCACGUUCCCCUCUUCCAAGUAAAGACUCUGUUACAGAGAUUUCCCUGGGGUGCCAGAGAGUGGUAUGUGGCUGCAACACUAAUCCCAUGCCUUGGUUUCACUACGGACGAAGUAGGGGGCUACGGGACGCAAAAUAUUGUGAAGCGGAAGUCACUGACAGAUGAAGAGCCUUUCCAUCCUGAAAAAGAGAGUCCUCUCACUCAUUCUGUCUUUUGGGAAUUUAUUUGGAAAGAACAUAGGCUUUGGAACCAGAGAGAUGGAAUUUGAAUCUCCCCUCUGCUACUUAGACGUGGGUGACCUUGGGCAAGUUACUUAACCCUUAAUAGCAGGCAUUUCUUCUUCUCUAAUAGUGGUUCUGCGGAUUGAAUGAGGCAGCAGUCUGUCAACAACUAUGGCAUCCAGCUGGUCAGAAAGACUAGAGGAUUUGACAUUUUGCGGCUGUUCUCUAGAACCAAAGAAAUGAGAACCUCUUGGUAAAAUCCGCUGGUCCAGGAGUUAUUAUCUCCUGGAUUAUCUGCCAAAGAAAUUAUCUGCCAAAAUUACAAUGUAAAACUGAAGAAGACAACCGAUAACUCAGUUAAAAUUUUGGAAAAAUACAAAGAAACUGUGACUGGGGAGAAAUGGUGAGGGAAAUUUUCUCGUUGAAUUAGAGGAUCAGGAGGGCUAAAGGGAGCCCUCAUGCUAUCAACCAAAAUCUCUGUUAAAUUCCAAACAUAAAAUAUCUUUUCUCACUGUUAAAAUGUCUAAGCAGUCUCCACUAGCAGCCCCCGUCCUGGACACAGGAGCACUGCCCUGCCUGGCCGUCAGGUGCUCCCAUAAGCAUCAUUCAGACAGCGAGGGGGGCAGUGGAGGAUUCGGGGGCAGGAGAUGGGGUGGUGGAGAGAAGGAUGUAACCAUCAAAAGUCCAUUUUCCCUGCUGAAGCUACCCAUGGAACUUUUAAAUUGGGUGCAGAUUUAAAAAUUAAUACAAAAUAUUUGAAUAAUCGGGGAUGUAUCAAAUGUUCAUAAAUUACAGCUCCAACUAGGAAUGCCUAAGGAACUGUUCCUUCCGUUUAAUUGUCCUCUUUGUCUAUCAAAAAGACAGCCACUCGCGUGCCUCUUCUAAACAGUCAAAUACCAUCCUAAGCUCUCAUGGAAAAUCUCAAGAGGCUUAUUGGUUGACUAAUUCUAAACCUCUGUUUGCUCAAAGGACAGUGUCAGCUACAAUUUUUCAUUUGCUUUUGUAUUCCAUUUAUUUUUCUUUACAGCUUUGGGAGAUGUGUAUUAUACUUCUUUUCUUUUAAUGAUUAUCUUGGAAAUUGUUUAUAUAUACUUAACAGUCUACAGUGAAGGACUAUUUACCAUCCUUCUGAAUAACACAAAGAUUUUAGGACAGUGGUCCCCAGCCUUUUUGGCGCCAGGGACCAGUUUUUCCAUGGACCAGGGUGCAGGGGGAUGGUUUCAGGAUGAUUCCAGCACAUUACAUUUAUUGGGCACUUCAUUUCUAUUAUUAUUACAUUGUAAUAUAUAAUGAAAUAAUUAUACAACUCACCAUCAUAUAGAAUCAGUGGGUGUCCUGAGCUUGUUUUCCUGCAACUGGAUGGUCCUAUCUGGGGGUGAUGGGAGACAGUGACAGAUCAGCAGGCAUUAGAUUCUCAUAAGGAGCAUGCAACCUAGAUCCCUUGCAUGCACAGUUCACAAUAGGGUUCACACUCCUAUGAGAAUCUAAUGCCACCGCUGAUCUGAUGGGAGGUGGAGCUCAGGUGGUAAUGUGAGCAGUGGGGAGUAGCUGUAAAUACAGAUGAAGUUUCGCUCAUUUGCCUGCCCACGGCUCCUAACUCUUGCUGUGCAGCCCAGUUCCUAACAUAUCCGUUGGUGGCCCAGGGGUUGGAGACCUUGUCUUAGAAUGGUUUUCCUCCGUUGAUCACUGCUUCUAGCUUGUGUGCUACUGGGAUACAAUAUUUUGAAUCAAUCUCUGUUUUUAACCUCACAGAUUGUGUAAUUAUCAGUAUCUGCUUAAUAUGUAUUUAGAUUAGUCAUAUGUUUACCAUUUUGUUUAGCUGCCAAACGUCAUUGCAUUUCAGACUUUCUUUCUGGGAGCGUCUCAUUCUUCCUGAAGUACAUCAUUUAAAUGUGCCUUUAAGUUUGGUGGCAAACAGUCUCAAUUUCUGUUUAUCUCAAAGUGCCUUUAUUCUACCUCAUUUUUGGUAGUUUCACUGGAUUUGUGAUUUUUAAAUCUAUAAUUAUUUUCUAGCACAUUGAAGGUAUUUCACUUUCUUCCAUGUUCCAUUGUUAUUAAAAAGACUCCUGUCAGUCUUAUUGACAUUCUUUUGUAGAUAAUCUGUUUUUUCACUAUUUUAUCUAUGUAUGAAUUUAAUCUAUUUAUGAAUUUCAUCUAUGUAUUUCAUCAUGUAUGAAUUUAAUUUAUUUCUCUUGCUUGAUAUAUUAUAUUGCUUCCUGAACUCUGAAAAAUUCUUGGCCAUUAUUUCUUAGUCUAUUAAAUAUUCUUUAAAUACUGCUGUCUUGCUGUUACUCUACUAUUUAAUUCUGAAACUUAAAAUGAAUAUAUGUUGGACUUUAUUUUUCAUUUUCUUAACUUCUCUUGCGUAUUUUUAAUUUGUCUUUCUGUUACGCAUCCUGAGCAAUGUCUUUGGAUAUAAUUUCCAGUUUACAAAUUCUCUUUUGAGCUGUGUCUAAUGUGUUAUUUUUUAAAAUUUUUUUCAGAGACAGGGUCUUGCUCUGUUGCCAAGGCUGUAGCACAGUGGUGCCAUCAUAGCACACUGCAGCCUCUAAUUAGCAGAUUAUGUUUUCAUAAAAUGUUUUUUAUCUUUGACCAUUUAAAAAUUUGGGAGUUUAUCUCUCCUCUCCUUUCCUUUCCUUCCUUCUCUCUCUUCUUUCUUUCUUUUUCUUUCUUUCUCUUUCUUUUUUUCUUUCUUUCUCUCUCUCUUUCCCUCCCUCCCUCCCUCCCUCCCUUCCUCCCUCCCUUCCUCCCUUCUUCCUUCUUUCCAUGAGAUCUUCCUAUGUUGCCUAGGCGUACCACCUAUUUACUUACUACCAUUGCAUAAGUCACUUAUCUCUCUCUCCAUUUUGAUUGUCUGAAGCUUGAUGUCGACUAGAUUUCUCAGGAAAGACUCAGCAAUAAUAGUCCCUGAGUUCUGGCAUGUUGAUAAAAGUUUGUCUUUUAUUAAUUAGAUAUAAAAUUCUUGUUUCAUAUAUUCUUUCCUUGAGUAUGUUAAUUAUUAUA